rnacentral:rRNA from 1 species
GUGCCAGCCGCCGCGGUAAUACAGAGGUCCCAAGCGUUGUUCGGAUUCACUGGGCGUAAAGGGUGCGUAGGUGGUCGGGUAAGUCUGAUGUGAAAUCUCCGAGCCUAACUCGGAAACUGCAUCGGAUACUAUUCGGCUUGAGGGUUGGAGGGGGGACUGGAAUACUUGGUGUAGCAGUGAAAUGCGUAGAUAUCAAGUGGAACACCAGUGGCGAAGGCGAGUCCCUGGACAACUCCUGACACUGAGGCACGAAAGCUAGGGGAGCAAACAGGAUUAGAUACCCCCGUAGUCC